UGGCCUUUCUAGACCACGAGAACUUACAUGAACAGAUUUUGGAGGUGUGAAACAUGUAUUUGUUUUAUCAAGGAUCUCACUUGGCUUUUAGAGACGUUCUCUUACAGAAAUGUUGGACUUUGGUGUGUAAGGCAACUUAAUGGGAUUUUUAUUGCAGUAAAAUUAAUAUAGAACUUUAAAAAGGAAUUUAUUAUAUCAGCA
rnacentral:lncRNA from 1 species